CUUCAAAACUGUAAAGAACAAAGGUACAGCAACGCAAACAUCAUCACUCUCGAAAGUGCAAUGCUACUGAUCUGUUCUACGAGCACAAAACCAUAAAGAUCUCCAAGAAGAAUAGCUUCCCGCGUAAUAGUUAUAUAGAUCUACCGAUACCUAACAUAAACAAUAGAGGAAUAACAACAAGCAAGGGAGGAGCCGUUUCAAAGACAAACACCGCCUACUACUACUACUACACUCACGUGGACUGGCUGAGGUCAAAUUUAAAACAAUGAAAUCGUCUUGUCUCUGAAGAGCACUACUGCUGACCAUUUCUGCAAGCGCAAAAUCAUCACCAAGAAGAUUAAACGUGCUUUGGAAGACAAUUUCUUGCGACCUCUUAUGGUGGAAGUGAUGCAACCUCUUAUGCUGGAAGUGAAUGCGACCUCUUGUGAUGACAAUGACAAAAUGGAAAGUAGGGUGCAAGAUCAGCAGAAUUCACUGGAAAUAAUGAUAGGUACCAUCGAACAUUUGAAACAAACUCAGGCUGCUGCACCCACUGGACCUGAUUUAUCCUUGCUGGACGGAUUGCUACCAAUACAAAGAUAUGUAGACUUUGAGGACUUUGAACAACAGAUAAAUGGGGACAGUGCCCUUAAAGUCACUGGUACAUCGACUCCAGAUUCUUGGGGGAGCAACCGUCAAAGCAGCAGUCAAAACCAUGAUUGACUUCUGCAUGACAAGUGGACUCCAGUAUGAGUUCAACUGGGAAGGUCGUCUUGGAACACGAAAACAAAUACAUGCAAGAAAGGGUUCGAGAACACAACAUUGUGUGGAAUUAUAAUAAAUAUUCUGGUGAACAAGACACAAUUAUCAACUGAUGAAACUGAAGUAGGGAAAACUAUGAUGAUUUAUCUAAAAAAAUGCCAUGUGACAGAUACGUGGGAAG